AUUGAACGCUGGCGGCAUGCCUUACACAUGCAAGUCGAACGGCAGCAUGAUCUAGCUUGCUAGAUUGAUGGCGAGUGGCGAACGGGUGAGUAAUACAUCGGAACGUGCCCUGUAGUGGGGGAUAACUAGUCGAAAGAUUAGCUAAUACCGCAUACGACCUGAGGGUGAAAGUGGGGGACCGCAAGGCCUCAUGCUAUAGGAGCGGCCGAUGUCUGAUUAGCUAGUUGGUGAGGUAAAGGCUCACCAAGGCGACGAUCAGUAGCUGGUCUGAGAGGACGAUCAGCCACACUGGGACUGAGACACGGCCCAGACUCCUACGGGAGGCAGCAGUGGGGAAUUUUGGACAAUGGGCGAAAGCCUGAUCCAGCAAUGCCGCGUGUGUGAAGAAGGCCUUCGGGUUGUAAAGCACUUUUGUCCGGAAAGAAAUGGCUCUGGUUAAUACCUGGGGUCGAUGACGGUACCGGAAGAAUAAGGACCGGCGAACUACG
rnacentral:rRNA from 1 species